AUUGAACGCUGGCGGCAGGCUUAACACAUGCAAGUCGAACGAGUGGCGAACGGGUGAGUCAUGUCUGGGAAACUGCCUGGUGGUGGGGGAUAACUACUGGAAACGGCAGCUAAUACCGCAUACCAUUCGAGGUGCCCAUCUCGGAUUAGCUAGUUGGUGGGGUAAAGGCGCACCUAGGCGACGAUCCAUAGCUGGUCUGAGAGGAUGACCCGCCACACUGGAACUGAGACACGGUCCAGACUCCUACGGGAGGCAGCAGUGGGGAAUAUUGGACAAUGGGCGCAAGCCUGAUGCAGCCAUGCCGCGUGUAUGAAGAAGGCCUUCGGGUUGUAAAGUACUUUCAUCAGGGAGGCGUUACCCGAAGAAGAAGCACCGGCUAACUCCGUGCCAGCAGCCGCGGUAAUAC
rnacentral:rRNA from 1 species